rnacentral:rRNA from 1 species
ACGAACGCUGGCGGCGUGCCUAAUACCUGCCCGUUGAGCGCUGAAGGUUGGUACUUGUACCAACUGGAUGAGCAGCGAACGGGUGAGUAACGCGUGGGGAAUCUGCCUUUGAGCGGGGGACAACAUUUGGAAACGAAUGCUAAUACCGCAUAAAAACUUUAAACACAAGUUUUAAGUUUGAAAGAUGCAAUUGCAUCACUCAAAGAUGAUCCCGCGUUGUAUUAGCUAGUUGGUGAGGUAAAGGCUCACCAAGGCGAUGAUACAUAGCCGACCUGAGAGGGUGAUCGGCCACAUUGGGACUGAGACACGGCCCAAACUCCUACGGGAGGCAGCAGUAGGGAAUCUUCGGCAAUGGACGAAAGUCUGACCGAGCAACGCCGCGGGAGUGAAGAAGGUUUUCGGAUCGUAAAACUCGGUUGGUAGAGAAGAACGUUGGUGAGAGUGGAAAGCUCAUCAAGUGACGGUAACUACCCAGAAAGGGACGGCUAACUACGUG